rnacentral:rRNA from 1 species
UACGAAGGGGGCUAGCGUUGCUCGGAAUCACUGGGCGUAAAGGGUGCGUAGGCGGGUCUUUAAGUCAGGGGUGAAAUCCUGGAGCUCAACUCCAGAACUGCCUUUGAUACUGAAGAUCUUGAGUUCGGGAGAGGUGAGUGGAACUGCGAGCGUAGAGGUGAAAUUCGUAGAUAUUCGCAAGAACACCAGUGGCGAAGGCGGCUCACUGGCCCGAUACUGACGCUGAGGUACGAAAGCGUGGGGAGCAAACAGG